CCUACGGGAGGCAGCAGUGGGGAAUCUUGCACAAUGGGGGAAACCCUGAUGCAGCGAUGCCGCGUGAGUGAAGAAGGCCCUUGGGUUGUAAAACUCUUUCGUCGGGGAAGAAAAUGACUGUACCCGAAUAAGAAGGUCCGGCUAACUUCGUGCCAGCAGCCGCGGUAAUACGAAGGGACCUAGCGUAGUUCGGAAUUACUGGGCUUAAAGAGCUCGUAGGUGGUUAAAAAAGUUGAUGGUGAAAUCCCAAGGCUCAACCUUGGAACUGCCAUCAAAACUUUUUAGCUAGAGUAUGAUAGAGGUAAGUGGAAUUUCUAGUGUAGAGGUGAAAUUCGUAGAUAUUAGAAAGAACACCAAAUGCGAAGGCAACUUACUGGGUCAUCACUGACACUGAGGAGCGAAAGCAUGGGUAGCGAAGAGGAUUAGAUACCCUCGUAGUCCAUGCCGUAAACGAUGUGUGCUAGACGUUGGAAAUAUAUUUUUCAGUGUCGCAGCGAAAGCAUUAAGCACACCGCCUGGGGAGUACGACCGCAAGGUUAAAACUCAAAUGAAUUGACGG
rnacentral:rRNA from 1 species